ACCUUGCAGAACUUACCACCACCCACUGACAACGCCGACGCCAUUCUCGCCAGCCUCGCUACCAAAAAUUUUGACCCCACUGAUGUAGUAGCUCUCUCUGGUGGCCACACCAUUGGCAUCAGCCAUUGCUCCUCUUUCACCAAUAGGCUUUACCCUACUCAAGACCCUAACAUGGACAAAACCUUUGCCAAUAACCUCAAGGGGAUUUGUCCAACAGCAAAUUCCACAAACACCACCGUGUUAGAUAUAAGGAGCCCUGACAAAUUCGAUAACAAGUACUAUGUUGAUCUCAUGAACCGCCAGGGUCUGUUCACCUCGGACCAAGACCUGUACACUGAUAGCAGGACAAGGGCCAUUGUCACUAGCUUUGCCGUGAACGAGACUCUCUUCUUUGAGAAGUUUGUGCUGUCGAUGAUAAA
rnacentral:lncRNA from 1 species